AAUCCAUGGUGAGGGCACCUUCGCAAUAGAUCCAUGUAUCUCUCCCAUGCAUCGCAAUAGUCCAUCUGCAAAAAAGAAGAGAUAUCAUUACGUAACU
rfam:Gossypium hirsutum cultivar TM-1 unplaced genomic scaffold scaffold2687.1, whole genome shotgun sequence